rfam:Verrucomicrobiaceae bacterium TMED76 73978, whole genome shotgun sequence.
UCUGGUGACCAUAGCGUAGUGGAACCACCCGUUCCCAUCCCGAACACGGAAGUGAAACAUUGCAGCGCCGAUGGUAGUGUAGCGAAAGGCUACGUGAGAGUAGGUCGUUGCCAGUU